GUGGAAUGUCUUUUCUGAUUGCUUCUAUGCCUGUGUUUUUCCUCAUGGAAUUGGAAAUAAGUUCAUCUGCUGAGAUUAAAGUGCAUGGAAGAGAUUUUGGAAAACCAAGAUAUUCCAGAUUCAUUUCUACUGCAGUCCUGGAAUUAGACGUUUCUACAAGGAAUAAUGGUUGAGUUUAGCAGAGGAUGGCCUCUCUCUGUUGUGGCCUCUCUCGUUGCAGAGCACAGGCUCCAGACGCGCAGGCUCAGCGGCCAUGGUUCAUGGGCCCAGCCACUCCGCGGCAUGUGGGAUCUUCCCGGACUGGGGCACGAACCCGUGUCCCCUGCAUCGGCAGGUGGACUCUCAACCACUGCGCCACCAGGGAAGCCCUGAUUACUUCUUAAGGUGAAUUUAUAGAAGUUUAGUUUUCUACUUUUCAUAAAAUUUUAUUAACAUACAGCCAUCAGUCAAUGAAGAGAGAAUAAUCCAAAAGCAGUUCUUGCCUGAGAGGAAUUUUCAUCAAAGUGCAGCCUUUAAACCUAGAGAUAUGUAUUUGAGAGCAUAUUUUGUAAGAUAUUACCAAUAAAAGUCAACUAUCUGUA